CAACAUGGAACUAAUAACCGAGUUAUACGAGGCUUUGUGUUAUAACACAGAUAAUGCGCCCCAUGGAUCAACAUAAAACUAACAAUUUUUGAAGUCCUUCAGUUAUCUUUGCUGUCUUUGUACCGUACUAACUCCCAAAUCUUAUCGAGAAGCAUAUGUGGAGAUAUGACGGGUAAAAGAUGAAUGAUUGAUGAAAAACUUUUCCGAAUCCCAAUGAUGAUUUACUAAUUCAGAUGUAAUUUAGAUGUUAAAUCUCUUUGCCCUUUGUCUACCUACCUACAUGCCUAUCUGCCUGCGACAUUUCUAUCAGAUCCCUAUAAUAUAGCGUGCAAUACAUCUGCCGAAUCUUUUUAUAUAGAGCUCAGUAUCUGCCUCUCUGCUCAAAGUCCUGCUUGCAACUGUAUAAUGCUUGAAGAUUGAAGAUUGAAGACUUCUUAUCUGCUUGCCAACUUGUAAGGCAUGUUGAUAGGGGUGUCACACUGAGCUUAUAUAUGGAAAUUUAUAGCCGAUAUACGACUCUAAUCCGGAGGAGAUUGACAGAUACACAGCUCAUUUGUUAAUAGGUAUAUUCUACGAAUGCGUGGAAUGAUCUGUAGCGAGCAGCAGAACGUGCGGAAACAGGCUUAUAUGGAUAACAGAGAUUAAUGCAUAGGGCAAUGAGAAGUAAAUAAGCAAUGGACAUCAUGUUCUUCAAACGUAUACGCCGACUUUCUGUGAUAUGGAGCCUCCUUACGUGCCAUUUAUUAUAAACCCGUGUAGGCGAUGUGCUAUUCAAAUGGCCCUCUCCCGUUAACCGCCUCUCGAAGCUUCACCCCUUCGGCAUCCGUCAUCGGCCUUGAUUCUCGACUCACCCCAUCCAGCCAACGCAGCGUCGUCUUGAACUUGGUCUGUUUACGACCAAGCACUGUCCGGAACGCUGUAGCCGCAAGCCACUGAAUCUGAGAUCUUGUAAUGUUGCUAUCAAAUCCGGAGCUCGUCCGGCAAGCAGUCGAAUUGAGAGACUGUAUGGCAUGGACGGCGACUUCUAUGAGGUUUGAGAUUGUCCGUAUAAAGAGAGCUGAUGACAUCGUUGCGGUUUUGACCCAUCUUCGAAUUCCUCGCUGGCACAGAGAACGUGAAUACUCAUACAACUUUAUGGCUGAAUCGAGGAAACUGUGGUAGAGAUUUGCCAUUACUAUUGAAGUUGAGUUAUGCUUCGUGUCGAGGAACAUGGCGUGGGCCUGGAUUUUAAAGGAGUUCAGGGCCUUGCGGUAAAAAGAGAUGCCAGCAGACUUAGUGGCAUCAACUGUUAUGGUAUCCGAAGUAGUAAGGCUAGGAUCCUUCGGUGUGCGAUCCUUGGUGAGGGAAAGGGUAUAUGUAUCGAUAAUAUUCCCGCAAUAUGGGAACUGGCGUUGGGAUGCCUCGACGAGGCGAGGGACUUUUCGUCCGUCAAUUGUGACCAAAAAAUUGACCAGAAUUUUCUCCGGGUUUACAGAUAUACCGUAGUCUUCACUUCCUUUAAGCAUCACUUGCAGGAAUUGAACAGCAACGCUAGGUUUUGUCGUGAUGAGGAGAUAGUCGUCUAUGAAGCGA
rnacentral:sRNA from 1 species